rnacentral:rRNA from 1 species
UAGUGAGUUUGAUCCUGGCUCAGAACGAACGCUGGCGGCAGGCCUAACACAUGCAAGUCGAGCGGACCGCAAGGUCAGCGGCGGACGGGUUAGUAACGCGUGGGAACGUGCCCAAAGGUACGGAAUAGCCUCGGGAAACUGAGAGUAAUACCGUAUGUGCCCCUCGGGGGAAAGAUUUAUCGCCUUUGGAUCGGCCCGCGUUGGAUUAGGUAGUUGGUGGGUAAUGGCCUACCAAGCCGACGAUCCAUAGCUGGUUUGAGAGGAUGAUCAGCAACACUGGGGACUGAGACACGGCCCAGACUCCUACGGGAGGCAGCAGUGGGGAAUCUUAGACAAUGGGGGAAACCCUGAUCUAGCCAUGCCGCGUGGACGAU